rnacentral:lncRNA from 1 species
ACUCUCGAAUUAAUGAUAUCCAAUCUUGGUAGUAAUGCUGCAUUUUUCAAUUAUUCCCGUUGAAGAAAUACUUUGCAAAUGACAACAAAGUGAAGACAAUUCUUGUCCUUUAAGCACGUCAAAGCUGCGCAGCAGUAAAUUCUCAUAAUCAAUUGCAAUAGUCUAAACAACUUACCUUCUACAGCUUUUGUCCGAUCAGCAAAAAACUCAAACCAAACUCGAACACACGGGAAAUCAUUCAGUCAAAUCACAUUUUCACAAGUUCACAAGGCACAUUAUUAUUAUUUCAAUCUACAAUACGAGAAAAAAAGAACAGAGAAAUUUCCUUGGCAGUACUCUCAGAAGCCGGAGUUGAUUACACGCGGAAAAGGUAAACACGAGAAUGACGCGGCCGCCAUGUUUGUUUUCGGCCAAGUUGCAAAAAUGUUGACAUUCAAAUCGCGCGCCACAGCUCUGCCGGAGAGAGCCGAAACCCGAGUUUUGAAAGGGUCGGGACCAUUGGUCGGGACGAGCAUACCAUUACCUUCGUUUUACUUACCUUGGUUUUGUACUGUGGUUUUCAGAAUUUCACGGAGGAAACUUUGUUUCACUGGCGUCUGUUCAAAGUUUUUAUAUGAAGCUUUGAACUCUACUGCUGAGAGACAAAUUGGUGGCCAGCAAUGUUAAUCUACCCACCAUGAUGGAGGAACCACUUAAUUCAGGACUAUCUGAUGUUCAGGCAGUUUGGCUUGCUGUUCAGUCUGUCAUCCCAGUUGUAUAUAAUCAGUGUAUGAAAGGCAGAAAAAUUGCAGAAGAAAAAAUACCUUUCCUCAUAUCACUCAUCGACAGACUAACUAAUGCAGAAUUUAAAAAUUGCUACGCCAGGAACUUCAAGAAUGAGGAUUCAACCAAGGAAGAUGAGCAUUUAGCUUUUACAACUUGGCUGCUAGGACAGCUGGUCCUUUUCCUUACAGAAUUUGACAUGGAAUCUGUGUACACCAGCUCAAAGCGUGCACAAAUUUUCAUUCUAGAGUCUAUGCUGAGCUGGACCCCUUGCAUGUUCAUUCAGAUCGUCAGCUUUUAUCUUGCCGCUAUUGAAGAUCUCUUGGCCUUCUAUAAAAUUCGAGUUGAAAAAGUUGGCACUUUAGAAAAGACUUCUCCACAAUUUCACUCCUCACAGACUUUCAAAUGGUUUGUUCCAAAUGCUGUAUCUACCUUACCAGAUUGUUUCAAUUUUGAACAAAGUCUUUUUGGGAUCAGAAGUGUUCGCAAUGCACCAAACUUCUUGAACAACUUUUAAAGGUUUUGUCUUCGCAAGUUUUUUGCGCCAUUAACUUGGGUCGAGAUUUAUGGCCUCUGGCGUUAAAUAUCCUAGACUGUGUUUCGGAGGUUAAUGUCAGGCUAGCUACUCUCGACAUCACCAUUCAACUUCUGCAGCACAAAGGAUACCCUGAAAAUAAUUCAGUAAGUUCUUUAUAGUUUGCUGUAGGCCAACUAUUUUUAUUUUUAUUUCUACUCCGGACAGUUCCAAAACUGCUAAAAAAGUGUUUUGUUUUUUUGUAGAAAUUAGUCAAGGAAAAAGAGACUAAUUUCCAACUGGUAGUAAUUUUGAAAACUCUCUUUGUGUUAUAACUAUAAAACAAAACGAACAUUAUUGAUAGGACAUGGAAAGGACAUGCAGUGCCAGAUUGGCCUGAAAACACAUCCUUUGUCAAUACAUGGUGACUGGCUCCUGUGGUGUGUUCAAUGGCUACCCCAAAAAAACAGAGAGUUGACCCGCUUAGAGCUUUUCUUCGAUCACCAAUCUGGCAAUGUCCACUUUCAUUUGAAAAUAUGCUUUAAAGCACUGAAAAAUGCAUUUCCUAGUCCCAAUUCUUCUUGAAACUGGCUUGUGACAAGUUAAAAAUUUCAAAGCCUAUCAAGUUCAGGUCACGGCACUUGUAAAAGUUGCAUUAAUUGGUGCAGAAUUUUUUUGAAAAGAGGCCUUAUCCCUUAUCCUAUUGCUCCUUUUUGACGCUUCAAUAAUUGCCAAAUUAAUUUACACUUCAUUUUUGUUUCAAGUUAAAAAAUGCAUUUUUCCAACAAAUGGAGCAGCUGCUCAAACAAGCAUGUACCGAAAACCACCUCAACUCAAAAAACGACAAGCUAUGGAUCCGAGUUGUGAAUUUAUUAGAUGAGGUUAUCGUCAUGAAAGGUUCUGGAAGUAAUGUCGUCAAUGCAUCAUUACUUAAUACAUUAUUCAUCGUCAUCAACAAUGAGAAUGUUUCACUACUCUGCAGUAAGUACAAAAAUGAAGUCAACAAAAAUCCUUCAGCUUUUAAAACUUCGAUUGCCAUGGUGUCCUCGGACCCUAGUCUAUGACGCUGUUUUGGUCCAUCAAAUUGGUGAUUACACUUGUUGAAGUUUGGUAGCUUCCAAAACCCUGCUCGCACUGUCAGCUGGUUUCCCACAUUACUGAACGUCGCUCAAUAGGUUUCUAGUGAAUUUUUCUUCCAUGAUGUAUCUCAACAUGAUUUUAUCUCUCAGUAAUGCAUAUGCUGCUUUGGUUGUUCCAUAUGUUCCUAAAACCAUGGGGAAAAAAAGCAUAGCAAGCACCGCUGAGGUGGAUUGUGGCAUUCCAUGUGGUUUUGAUACGACAAUAUUUUGGUCGGUAAGAAUGAAAGAACCUGGCGUUCGAACAAAGCACGUUAUUUUCAGCUGAUCUAUAUGUUUCAACUCUCAAAAUGUGAUUCAAUGAUUAGGAAACAUAUCAUAAUAUUGCCUAAUGUUUCCAUCAAACAGAGUUAUGAAAAAUUGCACAUUAUUUUCUUGCGCUAGAUUAAGGGCAUAAAUCUUUUUUUAUUUUCCUCUCUGGUUUGUUAUUUUCCCACCCUAAUCCUAAUUAUGUUUUCUUGCAGUUUUUACUUCUUUGAAGUUUUUUUCUUUUCCAGAUGAGUUCUUGAUAUCAAUGUGCGAUUUCGUGAAGUAUCUUCUCGACAUAACUCCUGAGUUUUUGAAACCUCUCUGAAGUUGGAUUCUUUAUUUUGCAAACUACCUGUUUGUCCCGUAAGUUUCUAGUCUGACAUUACCUUUACAAUUAAUGGGAUAGAGAAGGUUUAUUAGACCAAGCUGAUCUCAAGAGAAUUCUUCAACUGCUUGUAUCAUGCCAUGAUGAUUCCAGGGUUGCAAAAACCCCUCGACCAUGCGACCGGGCGGGGCUGCGGGGCGCAUUUGGUUGCGUGUGAAAAUGAAAAUGGGGAGGCCCCAAAGUUGGUGUUUUCAAAUGGAAAAGCCGGCAAAAUUACCAUUUUUUGCAAAGCUGCAGUAAUAAUCACAAAUAUUCUGAAAGUCGCAGUAAAAACCACUCGUUUUUUUGCAAAAUUGCAGCAAAUUACAUGUAUAGAGCCGCAAAGAAGUCAUAUUUUGAAAUUUCUGAGAAAAGGAGGGUUUUUAAAAUUGGGAGGCCAAUUUGAAGGAUGGGAAGGCUGAGAUUUUUCUGUAUCCGUGGAUGAUUCCGUCAUUUAUGUACUUUGUGAUUGCUGCAUCCAUUGCUUUAAUUUGUAUCCUUGAAAAGUAAAUUAUUAUUAUUGAUUCAGGUAACAAAUCACAAGCCAAGAAAGUUCAGGUAAUGAAUAACUUUGGUUUCUUAUCAUUCUAAUGUCUUGCUUGUCAAAAAUUAAAGGUGGGCUGGAGUCAAAUCAAAUCAAAAUUGUUAUAUGCGUCUUAUUUUGGUUUGUAUAAAUUCAUGAUAAUCUAUGGAAAAAAAAGAAUCAAGAACAAAUUACUCAGAAGUAAAAUUUAAAUGGCCAAAGUGCAAAUCCAUGUGAUUCCAUAGUGACGUUUCAAAAUUUCCACUCAUGCUUUAUUUUUUCAAUAAGAAACAAGCCACCUUAAUAGCUUGAAAUGUAUACAGAAUAUUCUGCUGACAGGGAGAAAAAUCAUGAAAGUUUUGAAGACUUCACAUCAACUGGUUUUUCAAGAAAAAUAAAUCUGUGUUGUAAUAGUCAGGAAGAAAGAGGAAAAUGACAGAUAACUUUAAAAAGACAGGGAAAACCUGGAAUUAUCAGGGGAAAUGACGAAAGUAUCAAAGAAAAAUUGCUAAGUGACCUUUAUUUGCUUUUUGAUAUUGAUUUGGCAUUUGAAAAAUAGAUAUUUCACGGAAACUGUUUAAAAUCAUAUCUUUUUUACCAUCUUUUAUAUGUUCAAUUACCAGAGAAUUUUACCAAAAUGUGUCAAGGAAAUCAGGAAAAAUUUAAGGAGAAUUCAUUUUCUUAAUUCUGUGGCAUUCCUAAAAAAAUAAAGUGUGACAGGAAGUCUUCAACAUCCCUCUUUCCUCUUUCCUCCACACUAAAAUACUUUUUCUUUUCAUUUCAGCAUUUAUUCAUGAUCCUGGAGUACAUUUAUUUUCGGAAAGUUAAUUUGCUCCACAGUGAAAAAAGUAGUGCCAAUCUAGAUCUAGAUGCAGAUUAUUCUAGGUAAUUUGUCCCUUUUUUUUCUUCAUUUUAAGUCAAUUUUUUCCUUUGACUUCCAAAUACAAAGUGGACCACCAGACAAGGUAAAAACUUAAGCACUCUGAUUAUUUUUCUGCUUCAAUUUUUUGUAUUCAACACAAUUUGCGCAGCAAAAAUUAUUGAGACUAACUCCUG